UGGCUCACAUACUCCACGUAUCAUCACAGAAAGAGACUGACUCACAUACUCCACGUAUCAUCACAGAAAGAGACUGACUCACUCACACACUCCACGUAUCAUCACAGAAAGAGACUGACUCACUCACACACUCCACGUAUUCAUCACAGAAAGAGACUGGCUCACACACACACUCCACGUAUCAUCACAGAAAGAGACUGACUCACUCACACACUCUACGUAUCAUCACAGAAAGAGACUGACUCACACACUCCACGUAUCAUCACAGAAAGAGACUGACUCACUCACACACUUCACGUAUCAUCACAGAAAGAGACUGGCUCACACACUCCACGUAUCAUCACAGAAAGAGACUGACUCACUCACACACUCCACGUAUCAUCACAGAAAGAGACUGGCUCACAUACUCCACGUAUCAUCACAGAAAGAGACUGACUCACACACUCCACGUAUUCUCACAGAAAGAGACUGACUCACUCACACACUCCACGUAUCAUCACAGAAAGAGACUGACUCACUCACACACUCCACGUAUUCUCACAGAAAGAGACUGGCUCACACACACACUCCACGUAUCAUCACAGAAAGAGACUGACUCACUCACACACUCUACGUAUCAUCACAGAAAGAGACUGACUCACACACUCCACGUAUCAUCACAGAAAGAGACUGACUCACUCACACACUUCACGUAUCAUCACAGACAGAGACUGGCUCACACACUCCACGUAUCAUCACAGAAAGAAUCUGACUCACUCACACACUCCACGUAUCAUCACAGAAAGAGACUGGCUCACACACUCCACGUAUCAUCACAGAAAGAGACUGACUCACACACUCCACGUAUCAUCACAGAAAGAGACUGUCUCACUCACACACUCCACGUAUCAUCACAGAAAGAGACUGACUCACUCACACACUCCACGUAUCAUCACAGAAAGAGACUGACUCACUCACACACUCCACGUAUCAUCACAGAAAGAGACUGGCUCACUCACACACUCCACGUAUCAUCACAGAAAGAGACUG
rnacentral:lncRNA from 1 species